rnacentral:rRNA from 1 species
ACGUAGGGAGCAAGCGUUGUUCGGAUUUACUGGGCGUAAAGGGCGCGUAGGCGGCAUAUUAAGUCAGCUGUGAAAUCUCCGAGCUUAACUCGGAACUGUCAGCUGAUACUGAUGUGCUAGAGUGCAGAAGGGGCAAUCGGAAUUCUUGGUGUAGCGGUGAAAUGCGUAGAUAUCUGGAGGAACACCGGUGGCGAAGGCGGCAUCCUGGACCAACACUGACACUGAGGAGCGAAAGCCAGGGGAGCAAACGGGA